AGGGGCGUAUCAUCUCAUUAGUUUAAUUUUGCAUUGAUCAAACCAACUUAAUAUCUAUCUUCAAUCUUGGUAAGUUACAAUUUUGAUGCUAAUAAUGCUGCUACUGCAGAGACGGCGCCAAAUUGAAGCAAUUAACGGAGCAUGGGCAAUGAUUGGUCUCACGGCAGGCUUGGUCAUUGAAGGUCACACUGGUAAAAGCAUACUGGAACAGUUGGCUGGAUACUGGUUUGCCAUUGUCCAUUUUUUUUGUGCGGUAACAUGAUCGAGGAACGGUGAAAACAUGGAGAUUCUUCACUUAAAUAUUCUUUCGAAUUUUAACUUUGUAAAAUUGUAUGAAAAUUGUUGCUUCAGGUGACAAAUGCUGUACCAUUUACUUCGUAGGGACUUCCUCAGUUUAAAAUGACCUGGUAAUGUGUGGCAACAUUCUUUUAUUUUCCUUCUUGAGGGGUCCUAUCCUGUAACCAGGUAUUCGAUUGGUUAUGACUACAUCCUUGAUAAGCUUUUAAUCUUUUCGUGGAAAAAAAGCUGUGAUUACUUGGAUUCAAA